UACGUAGGCAGCAAGCGUUGUUCGGAGUUACUGGGCGUAAAGGGUGUGUAGGCGGUUCUUUAAGUUUGGCGUGAAAUCUCCCGGCUCAACUGGGAGGGUGCGCCGAAUACUGAGGGACUAGAGUACGGGAGAGGAAAGUGGAAUUCCAGGUGUAGCGGUGAAAUGCGUAGAUAUCUGGAGGAACACCCGUGGUGCAGACGGCUUGCUGGACCAUGACUGACGCUGAGGCACGAAAGCGUGGGUAGCAAACAGG
rnacentral:rRNA from 1 species